CAACCGCGGUUAGACGAGAGGCCCCAGUUGAUUAGUCACGGCGUAAAGGGUGGUUAUGGAAAUCAAAGAAUAAAGCCGAAUGGUCCCUUGGCCGUCAUACGCUCCUGCUGGCCCGAAGCCCAAGCACGAAAGUAGCUUUAGGAGAUUACCUGAGUCCACGAAAGCUAAGAAACAAACUGGGAUUAGAUACCCCAUUAUGCUUAGCCAUAAACUAAGACACAUGAUUACAACAAUGUCCGCCUGGACACUACGAGCACUAGCUUAAAACCCAAAGGACCUGACGGUGUCUUAGACCCCCCUAGAGGAGCCUGUUCUAGAACCGAUUUUCCCCGUUAAACCUCACCACUCCUAGUUAUAGCCAGCCUAUAUACCGCCGUCGCCAGCUUACCCUGUGAAGGGAAAGAAGUAAGCAAAAUGGGUAAAACCCAAAAAGUCAGGUCGAGGUGUAGCACAUGGGGUGGGAAGAAAUGGGCUACAUUUUCUACUUCAGAAUACAACGAACACGCAACAUGAAAUACAUGCCAGAAGGAGGAUCUAGAAGUAAAAAGGAAAUAGAGUGUCCUUUUGAAUCUGGCUCUAAGACGCGUACACACCGCCCGUCACUCCCCCCAGUCUUAAUAUAAAAAUAUUCCUAAUAAAACAGAGCUGACAAGGGGGGAAAAGUCGUAACAAG
rnacentral:rRNA from 1 species